CGUGCACGCUGGCGGUAGGCCUAACACAUGCAAGUCGAACGGCAGCACAGUAAGAGCUUGCUCUUACGGGUGGCGAGUGGCGGACGGGUGAGGAAUACAUCGGAAUCUACUUUUUCGUGGGGGAUAACGUAGGGAAACUUACGCUAAUACCGCAUACGACCUACGGGUGAAAGCAGGGGAUCUUCGGACCUUGCGCGAUUGAAUGAGCCGAUGUCGGAUUAGCUAGUUGGCGGGGUAAAGGCCCACCAAGGCGACGAUCCGUAGCUGGUCUGAGAGGAUGAUCAGCCACACUGGAACUGAGACACGGUCCAGACUCCUACGGGAGGCAGCAGUGGGGAAUAUUGGACAAUGGGCGCAAGCCUGAUCCAGCCAUACCGCGUGGGCGAAGAAGGCCUUCGGGUUGUAAAGCCCUUUUGUUGGGAAAGAAAAGCAGCAGGUUAAUACCCCGCUGUUCUGACGGUACCCAAAGAAUAAGCACCGGCUAACUUCGUG
rnacentral:rRNA from 1 species